AUAUCGGUAUAAAAAUGAGACUGUUCUAUGACGGCUUUUAUUUAUUGAAGGCACUAAUUUAUAAAAUACAAAAUUAUUGUAUUUAUUGGCUCUUAGUAAUGUUCAAUAGCGUAUUUGAAUAAAAUUUCAAAGACUUAAAUUUACUACAAUACAAACAAUUCUUAACUCUAUUUUAGAACAUGUAAUUUAAACUUGUUGAAAUGAAGUUAGUUUAAAAUUUGUCAAAGUAAGCUUUAAGAAUUCCUUUUUUUUUAAAUUCGUCUUUUAAUUUAGAUUUAUCAUGCAUGUCUCUAAACAUAGUAUGCGACGCGUAACAGUUUAUAAGUAGGUGUUCUCAUAUAUGCAUUUGAUACGGUGCAUUUAUUAUAGAUAUAUUUCAGACUCCAUUUAUGAAAGAAAAUUUAUAAAGCAGAGCAUUUUUUUUUUGUAGCUCU
rnacentral:lncRNA from 1 species